rnacentral:rRNA from 1 species
AUGAAUAGAUCCUGGAAUAUUUUAAACUGGAAUGUGAGAGGUAUAAACUCCAGUGAUAAGUGGCUUGCAAUUUCUAAUAAAAUUGAAGAAUCACAGUGCUCAGUUAUCUGUCUGCAAGAAACCAAAAGAGAAGUUUUUGACAUCUCUUAUUUAAGAAAAUUUGCCCCAAAAAGAAUCAAUAAAUUUGAGUUCUCACCCUCUAUAGGGGCUUCUGGGGGUCUGCUUGUGGCUUGGAGUGAUGCUAUGUUUCAAGGAGAAUGUCUGUUUAAAAAUGAUUUCUCUCUUUCAAUGAGGUUUAUUUCAGUGCACACAGGAGAAUCAUGGAUCCUAACUAAUAUUUAUGGUCCCUGUGAUGAGGAAGGGAGACAUUUAUUUCUGGACUGGUUCAAAAACAUUCAGAUGCCUGUGGAAACAAAC